AGUGAAAGCAGCAUGUCUGCAGGCGUCCGAAAGCUGGUUGUAAGAGAAAGAUGGCAGGUGUCGGGAAAGAAAUAAUAGGAAUCGAUGUCUUCGGGAAGGACUUUAUAAGGGAAACUAGUUCGCAUCCAUGUAACACAUGGGGUAAACCAAGAAAAUUCCCAUGCAACCAGCCCGUUCGCCAGGAUUCGAACCCCGAACAGAACUAUCAGGGUUUAGUGACUUUCCUGCUUCCCCACUGGUGAGCAGUAUUAGCAGUGUAUCAGACUAGACCACCAGAGACUGAGCGGUAAAUUUGCUGAACACUGAUAGUUCGACCUGAGCUCAAAUUACGUCGAACGGUUUUGGCUGCAUGGAAUGUUUCGUGAUUUUCCCCAUAUGUAUCGUGGAUAAGAACCAAUUUUUCUCCAAAAUUCCUCCACGAAGGUGUCCGUCCCAGGAGGAAAGUAUCCGUUGUGCUGCUUAAUCAACUAACCAAACCAAACAUUGGAAAUUCUGGGAUAAAAACAUACAUUGUAGAAAACGACUGCAGUGAAAUAAUAGCAUAAUAUUUUGAUAAUUUUAUUGAAUAAUCUUCAGACGUAUGUAUUUUAAGACGUCUGAAGAAUUUAAGAAUAAUUUUUCUGUUUGUUAUGUUGAUUCUGUGUUGUUAUAUGUAUAUAUUGUUAUAUUAAGAUUAAAUUAUAUUAUGUUACAUAAUAUACUAGUAUUUAACACUGCUUCUCGUUAACUGCUUUUUUUCUCUAGCAUUUGACACAAUGUACAGAUAUCUUUAUUGCUAUGCCCUAGUAUUCUUGCAUUAUUUUAUUUCAUUUGGCAUCCAAACACACUUUAUAACUCGCUAUACAGCCGUUUGUGAUCCGUCCUUAACAAUUGUCCACCAGUGUAUUUGACAUAACCUAGAAACUUAAGGAUUUAUCAAGAAUGAGUAUAAUGCUUGUAAACUAUCACAGAUAAUGUUAAUGAAGUUUUGGUACUUUAAACAUGAUGUCUUGAAACAAAGCUUCUUGAUGGUUUUGAUUUUCAAACUGUAUCGCGAUUUUUGCUAAACAACUGUAAUUUUCUUUAAAAUUUUCAUGGUUAAACUGAAGCCCCUUCUAUCUGUUCACCUGAAGCAAGUGCCUCACACUUGUGCUGGCUCGGGCUAUCUGUGUAAAAACUUAGAGAUUUUAAAAUAUUGCAUGCACUUUAAUUUUAUUAUUUUGAAAUUAUAGCUAAUUAUAUUUCAUAAUGUAUCAUAACUGAUAAUUUUUAUAAAUAUUUACAUUAUUUAGUAGAACCAAUAAAUAAUGUUCUUAGUGUCACAUAUCAUAUGAUUAGUUGUAAAACAGUCCUUUGACACUCCGUUAACUUCUGAAACACAAUUCGGCAUUUGUCGUUGGCUUUUAGUUUUGGACAAUAGUGUUUCCACAAUUUUAGUUUUAUACAUCGUUCGACUAAAAAAUGCCUCUGCAUUGCUAUUCCAUCCUCCAGCAGAAUGCUCAUUGCAUUGAUAAUUCUGUUUCGUUUUUAUUCUGCGUAUAGUUUUUAACUGGAAGACUUUCCCUGGUCGACAACGCAAUGCCUAACAAUAUUCUUUAUUUGUCGAUGUGUCUUUAUUUAAUUUGUGGUACGAAUUUCUAUAUUUGAAAGAUAAAUUUCGAAUAUAAAAAUAGAAGAUCAAGAGAAAAAAAGUUAGUUUUAAAGCAUAGUUAUUUUUCAGAACUGUAAAGAAGUUAGUGUUCCGAAACAAAUUAUUUUUAUGCACACUUAAAUAAUGAAUUUUAUUUUCCCAACGCGUAGUAAAUAUUGCUUAGUUAUUUAUAAAUAUUUUAACUCGAAAUUAGACGCUAUCAUGACAUAAUGUUUUCGAUCUAAUUUGUAAAUUAAUUUCAGUUCAAAAUAUUAUAUAUUGCUCUCAAAUGUAUAAAAAGUCUCAGAAUUUUGUUUAUCUAUUUCACCAUUCUAGGCAUAAAAUGAUUUACAUUACAAUUACUAUUACAAAUUCUUCAAGAAAUUCUUCAACAGAAAAAUUUUGGUUUGAAGAUAACUGAAAAGAGAAAAGUUGAUCUUAAAAAGCGUGCGUCAAGGUUCUAAAUUAAUGGAGGAUAAUUUUGAUUUUAAAAGUAUUAUUAUAUCGGUUUACAAAUGUCCGCAAAUGAUCGUAAUCAUUUUAUAUAAUGGGCUCCAGAAAAUUAUUCUUGAUUUGCUUUAUUGUUAAUGAACAAGAGAUCUUAAAUUAGACAUUGUAAAAUUAAUCUGUAGGGUUUUACUUUAAUUUUCUAACACUUAUUUUUAUUUUGGAAGAAACCUUUUCUAUGCAUUCUAAUUUCACACCUACGUUUUCCUACCAGAAUGAGUUUUUACGAUUACGAUUUAUGCAAAUGAGGUGGUAGAAACGAGUAUAUAAGCUAUAUAAGCUGAAUUCUAGGUCGCUUCAGGAAAGCGUGUUCUGCCCUUCGGCCGCGUUGUUGCUGCUAGUCUAAGCUUAUUACUAUUCUAUGGCGUACUGCUACAUGCCUACUAGUACAAGCCGGUGACCUUUAAAUAAGGGCCAAUUCCGUUAGUUGAUUCUGUGCAGCUUGUUUAAUUUAAUUUAGCAUUAGAUAAGUUUUACAUUUUCUAUUUUGAGUUAAAGCCGAACUGAAGGCUUAUUGUACGCUCGAGAUGGGCCAAAUGUUAAUUCAUUUUGAUUUGGAAUAAAAUGUAAUUUAACCCUUCUAUGGACUUGUUACUUACAAGAACUCAGCAAACAGUCGGUAGUCGGUCUUCAGUAUUCUAGCUUACAAGGAAAUCGAGUUUAGCUAGAAUAUUACAAAUUCUUAAUUAGCGAGAGCUGGAAAUGCGUAGCUUCACUUUCACAAAGAAUUUGUUUUAUAAUUGUACUGGAAAAUCUUUUGAAAUUUGCUAUAGUUUGAAGAACUUGCAGUUGAAUCAUGAAGGUUAGAAAUAUUGUAAAAUU